GUGCGCAUGCGCACUGGGAAAGAAAAUGGACUCAAUGGGAGGACUUGCGCAGAUACCAGGACCCUCUGCUCUGAGCCACAAUGAAGAACUUUCCCAGACUAGGCAAGCCCAGGUACUACUGAAACAAAAGUGAGAGCAGAGCCAUCCCUGUGCCGACAGGAGCUUCUAAAGUUAAUAACAGUGUUGGACAUUGGUGCCAGUUAUAGAUACAGAGGCGUAACAAGUGGAGAAGAGGAAGGAUAUGCUUUUAUCAGUGCCCACCAUGUGCCAGAUAAAAUGAAUUGGCUCAUUGGAAAUAUGCUAAUGACCCUGCCAGACUCCAGCAUGAUGAGCAAUUUGGAACGCUGCCCUCUUGCCCACUGUGAUGGAGUGACUAUGCGGUCAGAGGUGUGGAGAGAAGAGAGGGCACAGGAGGACCAGUGAGGAGAGAGGAGAGUGUCAAUAGAACCCAUCAGCUACAUCCAAGACGCAUGGUGGAUUAUCUUGUUAAUGAUACAAAGUAAGUGUCAGCUGCCCUGCUCUCUGGCCUGCUCCCUGCAAUUGGAAUCUUCGUGUUCCACGCCCAGCCUCUGAUUCUGAAGACUAAGAGGGUACUGCAAUGAGGGGAGGAGGAAAGAAAGAG
rnacentral:lncRNA from 1 species